AAUGAGCCUGCGAGUUGUGGUGUCUGGCAAGGUUAAGCAAACGCGAAGCCGUAGCGAAAGCGAGUCUGAAUAGGGCGCUUAGUCAGAUGCUGCAGACCCGAAACGAAGUGAUCUAUCCAUGAGCAAGUUGAAGCUAGUGUAAGAACUAGUGGAGGACUGAACCCAUAGGCGUUGAAAAGCCCCGGGAUGACUUGUGGAUAGGGGUGAAAGGCCAAUCAAACUUCGUGAUAGCUGGUUCUCUCCGAAAUAUAUUUAGGUAUAGCGUUGUGUCGUAAUAUAAGGGGGUAGAGCACUGAAUGGGCUAGGGCAUACACCAAUGUACCAAACCCUAUCAAACUCCGAAUACCUUAUAUGUAAUCACAGCAGUCAGGCGGCGAGUGAUAAAAUCCGUCGUCAAGAGGGAAACAACCCAGACUACCAGCUAAGGUCCCUAAGUCUUACUUAAGUGGAAAACGAUGUGAAGUUACUUAAACAACCAGGAGGUUGGCUUAGAAGCAGCCAUCCUUUAAAGAAAGCGUAAUAGCUCACUGGUCUAGUGAUUUUGCGCGGAAAAUAUAACGGGGCUAAAGUAAGUACCGAAGCUGUAGACUUGCGCACAACUUAGAUUAUUUAAGUUUAGAAUAUGAGAAACUAAGUUAUAUUUUUACUGAUUUUUAUAGAGUAAAGAUAGAAAUAAAACUUAGUAAAAUCAGUAAAAAUAUUCUUAGGCUAAAGUUAAGUAGUUUAAGUUGUGUGCAAGUGGUAGGAGAGCGUUCUAUUUGCGUCGAAGGUAUACCGGUAAGGAGUGCUGGAGCGAAUAGAAGUGAGCAUGCAGGCAUGAGUAGCGAUAAUUAAUGUGAGAAUCAUUAACGCCGUAAACCCAAGGUUUCCUACGCGAUGCUCGUCAUCGUAGGGUUAGUCGGGUCCUAAGUCGAGUCCGAAAGGGGUAGACGAUGGCAAAUUGGUUAAUAUUCCAAUACCAACAUUAGUGUGCGAUGGAAGGACGCUUAGGGCUAAGGGGGCUAGCGGAUGGAAGUGCUAGUCUAAGGUCGUAGGAGGUUAUACAGGCAAAUCCGUAUAACAAUACUCCGAGAACUGAAAGGCUUUUUGAAGUCUUCGGAUGGAUAGAAGAACCCCUGAUGCCGUCGAGCCAAGAAAAGUUUCUAAGUUUAGCUAAUGUUGCCCGUACCGUAAACCGACACAGGUGGGUGGGAUGAGUAUUCUAAGGCGCGUGGAAGAACUCUCUUUAAGGAACUCUGCAAAAUAGCACCGUAUCUUCGGUAUAAGGUGUGGUUAGCUUUGUAUUAGGAUUUACUCCGAAAGCAAGGAAACUUACAACAAAGAGUCCCUCCCGACUGUUUACCAAAAACACAGCACUCUGCUAACUCGUAAGAGGAUGUAUAGGGUGUGACGCCUGCCCGGUGCUCGAAGGUUAAUUGAUGGGGUUAGCAUUAGCGAAGCUCUUGAUCGAAGCCCGAGUAAACGGCGGCCGUAACUAUAACGGUCCUAAGGUAGCGAAAUUCCUUGUCGGUUAAAUACCGACCUGCAUGAAUGGCGUAACGAGAUGGGAGCUGUCUCAAAGAGGGAUCCAGUGAAAUUGUAGUGGAGGUGAAAAUUCCUCCUACCCGCGGCAAGACGGAAAGACCCCGUGGACCUUUACUACAGCUUGACACUGCUACUUGGAUAAGAAUGUGCAGGAUAGGUGGGAGGCUUUGAGUAUAUGACGCCAGUUGUAUAUGAGCCAUUGUUGAGAUACCACUCUUUCUUAUUUGGGUAGCUAACCAGCUUGAGUUAUCCUCAAGUGGGACAAUGUCUGGUGGGUAGUUUGACUGGGGCGGUCGCCUCCCAAAUAAUAACGGAGGCUUACAAAGGUUGGCUCAGAACGGUUGGAAAUCGUUCGUAGAGUAUAAAGGUAUAAGCCAGCUUAACUGCAAGACAUACAAGUCAAGCAGAGACGAAAGUCGGUCUUAGUGAUCCGGUGGUUCUGUGUGGAAGGGCCAUCGCUCAAAGGAUAAAAGGUACCCCGGGGAUAACAGGCUGAUCUCCCCCAAGAGCUCACAUCGACGGGGAGGUUUGGCACCUCGAUGUCGGCUCAUCGCAUCCUGGGGCUGGAGCAGGUCCCAAGGGUAUGGCUGUUCGCCAUUUAAAGCGGUACGCGAGCUGGGUUCAGAACGUCGUGAGACAGUUCGGUCCCUAUCUGCCGUGGGCGUAAGAAGAUUGAAGAGAUUUGACCCUAGUACGAGAGGACCGGGUUGAACAAACCACUGGUGUAGCUGUUGUUCUGCCAAGAGCAUCGCAGCGUAGCUAAGUUUGGAAAGGAUAAACGCUGAAAGCAUCUAAGCGUGAAGCCAACUCUAAGAUGAAUCUUCUCUAAGCUCUCUAGAAGACUACUAGUUUGAUAGGCUGGGUGUGUAAUGGAUGAAAGUCCUUUAGCUGACCAGUACUAAUAGAGCGUUUGGCUUAUCUUUAAUAAAGCAU
rnacentral:rRNA from 1 species